UGGGAAUGUGAGACAUACAGGCACAGCCUUGCUGGAAUGACAGAGAAGCUAUAAGCCAAGUACUUGGAAUGUAAUUGGACAGCUAGUGUUUUGAACUGACCCCCCCCCACUGUUGCCCAUUGCCAUUCUUCCUUCCUGUGGGAAACCACUUAGUGGCCAUGUCAAUCAUGCAAUUCUAAGGGGGUGCCGAUCACUCCUAGGAGCAGGGAUGGCAGGCAGUUGAGGUCCAGUCAAUCAUCACUCCUCAUGCUCUUAGCCACAGGGAUGGUUCAGGGAUGGACAUGGGGCUGUGUCUGGCUAAUCAGAGUUUUCCCUGGAAAUUUUUCCAGUCGGAGCAUUGUCAGAGGCUGCUGGAGAUACAUACCUUCCCAGACACCUGGAGAAGGCCUCUUUGCAGGAGGAAAUAAUGAAGCCAAGCAGAGACGUGCGGAGUGUGAAUAUAGACAGAAAGAAUCCUGAUGACAUCAUCUGGUCCCUUAAUCCAGGAAGAGCUAAAUUUCCCGAUCACACAUGCCAGUAAAAUGCCCUCGGCGAGAAAUUAGUCUGGAAGGUGAGUCCUUGGAUUGGCAAUUCUGAUGGAAAGCAGGGCCAGAAACAACAGAUGGAAGAUGCCCAAUGCCAGGGAAGGGAAGUGGGGAAAGGAGAUGAAAACAGGGAGCCGUGAAAAGAGGAAGCAGAGACACAGGCACUGUUUCCCCUCAUCCUUUUUUUCUCCCCUGCCCUUUUUUUUCCCCCUUUUGAAUAAAAAAUAAAAAUGCAGAAAACCUCAGGAGCCUCAUAACUUUCCGGUUUUUAUUUAAAAAUAAACCUGCUUUUGCAGCUGUCACCACUCCCGUACGCGAGGCGCAAGCUUCAACCCCACUGCCCAGUAUUUAUAUACGAGAAAGUAAAUGCUCGAAAGAGAACAAAUAAAUUAGGUUAGAUUCUAUGAAAGGAGUCAAGCUUUCGCCAAAAAAAAGGAGAAUUUGGCAGCCAGCAUGGUUCUUUGAGGACCCUACCAGCCGGCAGGCCCAGGGUGACAAAAGACACAGGGUGACAGGUUCGGAGGAGCAGGGGAUCCCACGCCCUCCCUCUCCAGGCCGGGCCACCGACAGCAUGGCCCCUGGAAAUCUGCAUCCAGGGUGUCAGGAGCACUUGCAAACAACAGCUGUGGACAGGCUGCAAGCCUCCAGGGACUCAACAGCCGGAAACAUUUUAGCGGGACUCAUGGAUGCAAGGGCAAAACAGGGGCUGGAAAAGGUAGAGGUGGCUGCAGUUUUUCCCCUGAUGAGUGGGAGGGGGAAACAGGCAGGAAAACAGGGGCGUCGCGGGAGGAUCUGUGGCAGGACCCUCAAGGCUGACGACGGAGUGUGCAGAGCCGGAGCAGCGGCCUCAGCAAAUGGUUGCAGAGCUGUUCUGAGCCUGGCGGAGGCCUCGUCUGGUCCGAGAGGCCGCGGGAAGCUGAUGUGCAGAAGCUUCGCGAGCUGAGAGCCCAGAGCUGACAGAAGGUUAACUUGGCGAAGCAGCAAGGAAGAACAGUGCUUCAGAAGUGGCAGCACGUGCAAAAAUCCUGAGGCAAGAGGGAGCAUGGACUAAGAAGCCGAGAGAAGGGCACACACUGGACCCUGGAGAGUGGGGAGGAAAAGUGUUAAGACUCUCGUCUUACAAGGAGAUAGCACGGCCACACUGGGGAGGGCCUUGGUGAGGAUUUCCGUCUACAUGUUAGGAAGGGUGGGAAGUCUCAACUUAGAAGCCGCAUGGCCAAAUCUGAGUUUUGAGAAAGGCUCUUGGACUACAGCGUGAACAGACUGCGGUGGGUGGGAGGCCAGCGCGGGUGACGUGAGCUCAGAAAGCUGUCACCAGCAGGAAAGAAUGGCACCUUGAUCUAGGGUGGUGGCAGACAACGAGAGAAAGGAAGCAUCAAGAAAUAAUUAGGAAGUCAAAUCAGCAGGGGCUUGGUGAUCAGUUAGAUGAGGGUUGCGGAGACAGGGGGAGCCCUCCAGGUUUCCAGUUUGUGCAAAGCACCUGGAGAAAGAGAACAGUGGAAAAGGCCAAGAUUGUGAGGGAAGGCAGUGAAUUCAGUUUUGAAAAUGUUGAGUUAGAGGCAACUUUGAGAUAGCAGAGCAGAGCCUCCAAGUACAUCAUUGGACAUUCAGCUCUGGAAGGGACAGAAGAGGUCUGGGUUGGAGGUACAUAAGGGAGCCACUGGUUUGGGGAUGGUCACCGUUGGAGAGAAUAUAGAAUAAGAAGAAACGAGGGUCACUUCUUCAGGAACUCCAACGUACACGUGGCAGAUAGCAGAGGAAGAUGAACCUACAAAGGAAACUGGGAAGAAAUACCCGGAUAGGAGAAAAGAAUCCAGUUAAGCAUCAUACCCCAGAGAACAGGAAAGGAGGAUGUUUCACCUGGAGACAGUGGUCAAGAGGGUUGAAUAUCGCUGAGAGGAUAAAGGAAUCAAGAAGUGAAAUAUGUCCACUAGACAGGUGCACCAACAUCAAGGUCCCUGGCGACCCAGGACAGGGCCAUAGCUGUGUGUGUGUAUUAAGGAGCUAAGGAAGGCAUUGUAAGGCACCCAACACGGUGACUGCCACAUAGCCAGCCCUCGGUAAAUGUUGGCUCUUGUUAAAUUCUCCCUUUAAAGUCUAUAAAGCUCAUAUUCUUCUAUGCUAUUGAAGGGGGGAAAAAAGGAGACACAGGCUAACAUUUUAAUAGGAGAGCUUUAAGAUUAAACCCAAAGAAUUUCCCGACAGGAAGGACUGUAAAACGCCCAUAAAGGCUAUUAAAGAAGAUGACAGAAUCCCAUAUGAAAUUAGGAUCUGGAUGGAUUCCUGUGUGUCUGGGACAAGUUUGAUGCAGCCUUUCCGUGAGGCAGGGGACCAACCCCAAUCACCGAGGCAGGUCACUUGUGCCCUGGGUGGCCCCUGCCCUUCUUCCCUGGCCCCCAUGGCGAAGAACGCUGCCUUGUGAAGGAAAGCCUCCUCGUUUCAAUAGGCUGGGCUGCCGAGGUGAACGUGAAUAGAGCCAUCCAGCAGAAAACACCCAGAGGACAAGCACCGAAAAAUACGCUUGAAGGGCCAGCCGAGUGGCCAGGAUCACAAUGUAAUGCCCAGCCUCGGGUCAGUAAUGGGGAGGUAUUAGUCAUCUCUUCAGACCUCAGCUCCAUUAUUUCUGCCGGAAAUGUGAGAACAGCUCUCACUAAUAACGUGUGGAAUCACUUCCAACUAUUUGCCUUUCAAGUCAGCCUCCUCAGGUCGGGUGACAUAUCUCGUUUAACAGGGGGUGCCAUUAGAGGGGAGAUUUAACAUGUGGCUAAAAGCAUUUGUAGCGGGAGCUGUGGGUGGGUUCCUUUUUAAGCUUCUGUGGCUGGUAACUUGCGUCUCUUCCCUCCGUGCUGUUGGGUUUUGUAACCGAAGCCUUUUUCUUUUCCGAAGGAGGUUGGCUAUUAACUCUCCCCUGCCCAGAGCAUCCCCUAGCAUGGACAGGGCAGAUCAAGAGCUGAAUUAGGAGUCUCUCCUGCUCUCUCACCAGAACCCACAGGAGGCUCAGAAAGCAGGCAUGAUGACUCCAGGCAUCUUGCCACCCUUGUGCCCCUCACCCUGCUUGUGUGACCCAGCAUCUCCCUAUGCCAAAGUCUUGCAGAAAUAACGAUAGCUUUGCAAACGCAACCACAAGUCUACCAACCCGCAGAAUUUGUAUCUCUACCUGUAAUAUGAGUCUCGCCUCUUCCCACACCUUGAGAGGCUCAGAAGCCAUGAGAACAGCAGGACGAGAGGGACUGAGGUUGUAGAAGGGGAACUUGUCAUUUAAUUGAAGUUUCUUUUCCUUUUCUUUCUUUUUUUUUUUGACUUAGACUUGAUUUUUUUUUUUCUUUUCCCUGAAGGCUUGGGCCCUUUAAGGCCCAGCCUAAGCUUCCUAAAUUUUUGUCUCUAAGUAAACUCCCCAGCUCCCAGAGUCCCAACCUAUCUGAGCCUCAGAUUCUUCAGAAAAACAGGGACAAUAACAGCCCGCUAUUCAAUAAGGGGCUAUAAUUAAAUGCAUUGAACACAGUGCUUUGCACAUAGGAGGGGCUCAAUAUACACAUAUCAGUUAUAUCUCUUUCGGUUACCUGUUACAAGUGAUCAAAUCCCCAGCGCAAGUGCCUAAAUAAAGAGGGAAUUUAUUCGAUUAUGUAACUGACAAAUCCAGAGCUAAGCCAGGCUUUAGAUAUCUAGAGCGUGACUCAGGGAACUGUCCCCAGGACAGAGUUUCUCUCUCAUCAUCCUUUGGCAAGGCUUCCUCUGCCUCUGCUCCAGCUCAUCCAGGACCUGGUGGCAGCAAAUGGCAGCAGCUGCUUCAGGACCACAUUCUCACUAUCCCCUGCCCAACAGAGAAGGAGCUACUUUUCCUCUGCACAAAAUUCACCUAAGUCCUGAGCUGGACACUCACUGGGUGACCUGGGUCAUCCUUGCACCAAUCACCAUGCCUCUGGUUGGAAAUGUGAUCAAUGGUUUAACCCUGAGUCUCAAACACCACCUGGAGGGAGAAAAUAAACGGGGAGGGAGGGAUGCCCGACUUAACUCGAGGCACUGACAAUUGCAGGAAAGAUGUUUCCCCAAAAGGAAUUUAUAGUACCAUCCCCACCCCCCAAAAAAGGUGGGCAUAGAGGAUGCUAGGUGCCUAAACUUAGAACCAUCCACUGCAGAUAAUUUCCCAUCCUACCCCAUAUGCAAUGAUCAUUUGAUAGUAAUGUGUACUAUGGGAAGUCUCCCCCAAAACUCAGCAAAAUGCCCUCCUUUCCAUAUAUUAGUAACAUACUGAUUGUGCCCGCUAUAGCACCUUUUCUUCCUCCACCUCCUGUUAGAAUUCUUUCCUCUAGGUCUCUGUCACCUCCCUAUGCCACAUAGGACCAAGUACAUGAAGGGAAGUCCAUUGACCCUGGAGGUGCUUUCAGACCCACACUGGCUCCCUGUGUCCAGCUCAGUUCUGCUCUUCACUUCUCUGCCCCUGACCAUCCCUCUGCUUGGGGGUAGACUGGCAGAGGCCAGCACACCUGGUGAGCUCUAAGGCAGGAUGUUCCCAGAAGCUCCCUCUUCUGCUAGAAUCUGCCUCUGUGAUCACUUCUCUUAUGGUGUAUCUCCGAUGGUUUUCCUGGUUCCCCACCACCAAGAAAAUCUCUGGGAGCAGACAGAACCCUAUCUUUUCAUCUUUGUUAUCCUUGGUACUUAGAACAAUAUCUGGCUCAAAGAAAGCACCCAUCAGGUGGUGUAGCUACCCUCAAUCUAACUCACAGUCACCCUCAGGUCCUCAAAAAAGAGCCUCAUCUGUCAGGGCUGCGGGAAGGGCAGGUACUCACCCAGGAGAGGGGUAGAAAGCUAGAGGGUCAUAUGCAAACCACAUGAGUAGAGAAAGAAAGGUAGAACUCACUGUGGUUCCUGGUUCUCUAUCAAGCUGGAGCAGACAUUGAAAUGGCACAGGGCACCUGACAGAAUAUAGGAGGUAGAUUGAGCUAGUGAGCAUGGGGGCAGGGAGACAUGGGCUUGAUUUCAGGGUGUGGUUGGUACCCAUGAAGAAGGGGGCGGGAAUUAGUGGGAAGCUGGCAGCAGAGACCCUCAAACGUCGAUAGAUAGUACAGCUGUGGUUCUGGAUGGUCAGCCCGGUCAGAGCGUGAUCCCAGUGGCAUUGGGCGUCCAAGAGGAACAGAUUCAGCUCCCUGGGAUGGGGGUGGGGAGGGGCCGGAGAGGAGGUAGGUACCAACAGGGUAGCCAGGUGUGACAGGGGCUCUGGGGCAGGCAACUAAGCAGAACCCCAGGGGUGUGAUUAAAGGAGGGGAGUUUGCCCCCAGCAUGCUGGAUGCUGAAUGUGUGGGCAGACACCCGAGCACGGCACGGCCCCUACCAGCAAGAUGGAGGAACUGGUGCCCACCUAGCUUGGUCAAGGCAGGCUCUGAAACUGGGUGGGGCUGAGCCUGUAGGAAAAGGCCCUGGUGGCUGUGCCCUGCAGGGCUGGGGAAGGCAGGACUGCCAGGCUGGGCGUCCGAGAGAGGCUUCCUGGCAGACUCUCAGACUGAGUGUGUGUCUGGGGCCAGGGGCUGAGGAACUGCCAGCACCGUCUGACCUCACGGAUCCCCUAGUCAACAAGCAGCAAGAACAGGAGACUCCUGGGGCUCCCUCAGCUUUGGAGAGAGCUCUGCAAACAAAACUCAGCUUUUAGGGGUUAAUCUCAAGCCCCAGGAGGGCCCAGAGGGCCUCCUCCGAAGGGCAGAGCCAGCGAAUGGGCUGAGACUAAAAGGAAAGGCAUGGACUGCCCGCCUGGGAUUAGUCUGGCAGCAGCUGCAAAGAGCCGCCCUUCAAUCGCCCGUCUUGUGUGAGCCCUCAAAAGCACUGGCUGUCUGCCACCAGCCAGCUAAUGGGGCUGGGCUGCCAGGGCCAUGACCUCUGUCUUCCCGGCCCCCUGCAGCUCUGAAUCUCACCUCCCCAGCAACCAUGGGGACCAAGGACUCUGCUUGGUUUGUGUUUUUUCAUCACCUACUAAGUGCUCGGGCCUCACACCGCCUGGCCCCUGCCUCCUGCUACUCCCAUCGGCCUGCGGGGGGCAUAAGCGAUCAGCCCUUUGGCCAGGCGGUGAUUUGGGCUACACUUCUUUGCCUGGUGGGGGUGCCCGGGAGUAGGUGUCCAAUGAGAGGAGACAGCAGGAGGGAGAGACUAGGCCUGCCCUUUCUUCAAAGUCCUGAGUCCCGAGUCCGUGUCUCUGCAACCGAGGGAGCAUGGAAUCGGAGCCAUGCCCAUCUGGGAGAUCACACACUCAGAGCCGACUCCCGGGGAGGAAACUCGGAUUGAAAUGCACGACUUGCUUAUGAGCGGGGCUGGGCCCUGGUUUCUCUG